rnacentral:lncRNA from 1 species
UCCCGCGGGGAAGGGCAGGUCGGUGGGAGGAGAGGAGGGGGCGCCGGGAAGGCUGAGGUGCCGAAAGCUCGGAACCGGGGGUGGCAGCGGCACCAACUAGCGACACUGGAGCGGGGAGGGGGCCACCAAACCACCUCCGGAGGCCGCAGGGAGGUGGGCGCGCCCACUGCGGUCUCCGCGGGGGAAGAAGGGACACGGCUGGAGAAGGAGGCCGCUUUGGGCUCGAGAUUAGAGUCCCUCUUAGGGUGAACAACCUGCGCAAGGCGGCGCCAUACACAGUCUUAAAAUGAGAAAGAAGACAAGCUUUGGCUGCGCAAGUAGAUCCAGGGAGCGUGCAGCCGGGUGAACGUUCUCUCCCCUCAAGUCUGCACGCAGUGGUUGCGCCUCUCUCGGAGCCUGCGCAGUCGGCACCUCGUAGCCUUGGCAGUCUGGACCCCUCGUCGGCGUCCCACGCUGCUCCCCUCCCCCACUGCCGCGAAGCUCCCGCGCGAGCCGACCACGUGCCGCGAGCCCGGCGGGGAGAGCCCACUCCCGCGCCCCUUCUGGGCCCACGACCGCGCCGGGCUGCGGCCCAUCGCCUCAGUGCCUGGUAAACAUACAUCUAUCUUGUGAUCCAGCCAUUCCACACAUUGGCAUCCUCUGCUUCUUGAAUCCCCAAGCAGAAAACAUGGCUACCAACAGCUUCUGAAUCCACCUGCAGAGAGACUGACUGCUCUGUUAUUUUCCCCAGCAUCUGUGAAGAGACUCUGACUGUCUAAAAUGUUGGUAUAGUGAUCACCCCAGGGUUAAGCAACCAUGACUGUGAAAAGGAAAAACGUUAUGAACC